rnacentral:rRNA from 1 species
CGCCGUCAUGAUGUCGGAAUCACUACUAAUCGCGAAUCAGCCAUGUCGCGGUGAAUACGUUCUCGGGUCUUGUACACACCGCCCGUCAAACUAUGAGAGCUGGUAAUAUCUAAAACCGUGUUGCUAACCGCAAGGAAGCAGCAUGUCUAGGGUAGGGCCGGUGAUUGGAGUU